rnacentral:lncRNA from 1 species
CAACCGAACAACAAAAAUUCAUUCAUUUAAUUUUUCUUUAUUUGUGUUGCUUAUUUCUAUUGACAUAAUAAAAAUAUAACAUCAAGUUUAUAAUUCGUAGAGCACAACCAAAAUCUGAGGAACGACCAUAAAUAAAACCACAAGUAUCAAACUCUAAUAAUAAUACACGAUGCGGUAAAUUUUGGCAUGUGAAGCAAAUGUUUUAUGCCUUAACCUUUUUACUAUAUUAUACACGAUGCGGUUGAUCCUCUGAAGAAUUUGACACUUGGUAGACUCUUGAAGGGUAUGGAAGACCAUACCAUGUGGACUUUAUUAUACAUUGACUAUUCAACAUGUCCAACUCAAAUUCACAUUCAGCAUGCCUAACUCAACUUGAUUGUUCAAGCCCCGUGUGCUCCACCUUCAGCAUGUCUAGGCUUAGCUUGAUUGCUCAUGUCACGUGAGCUCCACAUUCAGCACGUCUAGCUCAGUUUGAUCGUUCAGGUCACAUGGGUUCCACCUUCGGUAUGUCUGACUCAUCUUGAUCGUUGAGGUUACGAAAGCCUCACCUUCAACAUCAUCAUCUCUUUCUCAAGUUUUUCUCCAAGUAAUAUCGUUGUCCUCUUGAAAGUAUCUCAUAACAUGUCACAUGUAUUGUAUGACAAAUAAUGUAAGCUCCACAUGCUUUAACUUCACGCGCUCUGUACGGAUGAGCAGUGCAAAUAAAGAGUGACUAGCUCUACACGCUACAAUAUAUGCACAGACGAGCUAUGAUGAUCUCAAAAAAUUAACUUAAUGGACCUAGACAUCUAAAGAGAUGUUCAUUAAGUCAAGGAAUUGAGAACUAUAAAAGGAAACACUUAUAAAGUAGGGGAGAUAGGUUCAUUUGAUC